rnacentral:rRNA from 1 species
UACGAAGGGGGCUAGCGUUGUUCGGAAUCACUGGGCGUAAAGCGCACGUAGGCGGAUUUUUAAGUCAGGGGUGAAAUCCCGAGGCUCAGCCUCGGAACUGCCUUUGAUACUGGAGAUCUUGAGUCCGGAAGAGGUAAGUGGAACUGCGAGUGUAGAGGUGAAAUUCGUAGAUAUUCGGAAGAACACCAGUGGCGAAGGCGACUGACUGGACAAGUAUUGACGCUGAGGUGCGAAAGCGUGGGGAGCAAACAGG